GAUGAAGAACGCAGCGAAAUGCGAUAAGUAAUGUGAAUUGCAGAAUUCAGUGAAUCAUCGAAUCUUUGAACGCACCUUGCGCUCCUUGGUAUUCCGAGGAGCAUGCCUGUUUGAGUGUCAUGAAAUUCUCAACCUUUUCAGCUUUCUUUGUUGAUCAGGCUUGGAUGUGGGAGUAUGCGGGCUUCUCAGAAGUCGGCUCUCCUGAAAUGCACUAGCGGGACCUUUGUUGCCUGGCUUUGGUGUGAUAAUUAUCUACGCCAUUGUAGUCAAGCAGCUUAAAAUGAGGUUUCAGCUUCUAACCGUCUCCCCUGAGACAACUUUUUGACAAUUUGACCUCAAAUCAGGUAGGACUACCCGCUGAACUUAAGCAUAUCAAUAAGCGGAGGA
rnacentral:misc_RNA from 1 species